rnacentral:rRNA from 1 species
GACAGAGGUUGCAAACGUUGUUCGGAAUUACUGGGCAUAAAGCGCACGUAGGUGGUCCGCUAAGUCGAUUGUGAAAUUCCCCGGCUCAACCGGGGAACGGCAAACGAUACUGGCGGGCUUGAGGUCCGGAGGGGUGAGUGGAACUCCUGGUGGAGCGGUGAAAUGCGUAGAUAUCAGGAGGAACACCGGUGGCGAAAGCGGCUCACUGGCCGGAAUCUGACACUGAGGUGCGAAAGCGUGGGGAGCGAACAGG